GAGACAGAGUCUUGCUCUGUCACCUAGGCUGGAGUGCAGUGGUGCAAUCAUAGCUCACUGCAGCCUCCACUUUCCUGGGCUCAAGCGAUCCUCCCACCCCAGCCUCCUGUGUAGCUGGGGCCACAGGUGCACGCCACCCUGCCCAGCAGAUUUUUGUAUAUUUUGUAGAGACGGUAUCUCGCUAUGUUGCCCGGACCUGUCUUGAACUGCUGGGCUCAUGCGAUCCUCCCACCUCGGCCUCCCAAAAUGUUGGGAUUCCAGGCGGGAGCCACCAAGCCAUGCCAAAGAUGCCAUUUCCCCCAAAAGGGAGGACGGCUGAGCUCUAGAAGGAAGUUCCACAGCAGAGAGAGAAAAGCAGAGCCCAUGUGAAUUCCAGCCCCUGCCUCAGCUUCCUCAUCUGUAAAACGGGGAUCCCGGUUUUGACCCUGAGCAGUAUUUCAGGGAAGGCUCAAAGGUUUAAGCAUCUGCCACUAAGGAUCCCCUGGGCUGCCUCUCCAUGCUUCUAACUCCACUCGGGCCCCCAGUGGGAAAGCCAAAGGUGAAUUACAGUGUCCCAGGGCUAGAGGGGGCCCCCUGCCCCAUGGAAACCAUCUACGCUAAGGUGCUGUCAUUCUGGGCACGGAAUGACAUUUUUGAGAUGGAGUCUUGCUCUGUCUCUGGGGCUGGAGUGCAGUGGUGCGAUCCCGGCUCACUGCAACCUCUGCCUCCCAGGUUCAAGCAAUUCUCCUGCCUCAGCCUCCCAAGUAGCUGGAAUUAUAGGCACACGCCAACACACCUGGCUAAUUUUUGUAUUUUUAGUAGAGACAGAGUUUCACCACGUUUGCCAGGCUGGUCUCAAACUCCUGGGCUCAAGUGACCCACCUGCCUUGGCCUCCCAAAAUGCUGGGAUUACAGGCGUGAGCCACCGUGUCUGGUCCAGAGGAGAACUGAAAGAACACACACACACAGGCAAUCAAGAAUGCUGAGGCCGGGUCGGUGGCUCUCGCUUGAAAUCCCAGCACUUUGAGUGGCUGAGGCUGGCAGAUCACUUGAGCCCAGAAGCUCGAGACCAGGCCGGCCAACACAGCAAAACCCCAUUUCUAUUUUCAAUUUUUAAAAAAAAGAAAGAAAGGAAACAAAUUAAUUCCCCUCUGUAUAGGCUAUAAAGUCUUACCGGUUCCCAUAUUAAUUAAUGAAUUAAGCAGACACAUAAAGCACCUUUUUUUUUUUUUUUGUACUUUUAGUAGAGACAGGGUUUCACCAUGUUAGCCAGGCUGGUCUUGAACUCCUGACCUCGUGAUCCACCCGUCUCGGCCUCCCAAAGUGCUGGGAUUACAGGCGAGCGAAUCACCUGAGAUCAGGAGUUCGAGACCAGCCUGACCAAUACGGUGAAACCCUGUCUCUACUAAAAAUACAAAAAUUAGCUGGGCGUGGUGGCGGGCGCCUGUAGUCCCAGCUACUCGGGAGGCUGAGGCAGGAGUAUGGCGUGAACCCGGGAGGCGGAGCUUGCAGUGAGCCGAGAUCGCGCCACCGCACUCCAGCCUGGGCGACAGAGCGAGACUCCGUUUCAAAAAAAUAUAAAAAGUAAAAUAAAGUUACAAAGCGCCUCUCACGCAUGUUACCCUCUGUGCAGCCAUUGGCUCCAUUACUGCGCUCUUGUUUCAUGUCUGUCUUUCCCCACCAAAAUAUGCGCCCCACGAGAGCAGGAAGCUUGGCCUGCCUUGCUCACUGCUGAAUCUCCAAGGCCUGGUGACCCCACACUCGCGCAUACAGUAAGUGCACAAUAAAUGCCCGUUCGCUCCCUGGGCGACCCCUCCCCCCAGCCUAGGCUUCCGCUAACCUCAAUCCAUUCCAAAGGGUGUCAGGUUCCACCCUGAGCAAACACAGCUCCCCUGGCCCCUGGCCAGCCCUAAAGAGGAAGAACAAGUACCCAUACUCCCUGCCCUGGACUUUCCCCGGGACUCAGGGCCACGAGGAAGCACCAAGCCAGGGGGCAGGACUUUCUCGAGAUGCUGAGCCUGAGGCAUCAGCUGGGGGCAGGGCCAGCCUCCAGAGCACCACCCCCGCCACCAGCUCCCUGUCCUCUGCGUCUUGACUCUUGGCCGCCUGACAUUUCUACUUGGCUGUGCGGCCCGGGGUAAGCGGCUGUCCUUCUCUGAGCCAGGGUUCAUCCUCUACAAACCAGGAAGCUGAUGAGACCAGACUCCGAUUCGGACCGGGAUAGCUCGUCUUGACCCCAGAAUGACCGAGAAUCUGUUACCCGCUU
rnacentral:lncRNA from 10 species